rnacentral:rRNA from 1 species
GACGAACGCUGGCGGCGUGCUUAACACAUGCAAGUCGAGCGGUAAGGCCCUUUCGGGGGUACACGAGCGGCGAACGGGUGAGUAACACGUGGGUGACCUGCCUUUAGCUCUGGGAUAAGCCUGGGAAACUGGGUCUAAUACCGGAUAUGACUCCGCGGUGCAUGCUGUGGGGUGGAAAGCCUUGUGCGGCUGGAGAUGGGCCCGCGGCCUAUCAGCUUGUUGGUGGGGUGANGGCCUACCAAGGCGACGACGGGUAGCCGGCCUGAGAGGGCGACCGGCCACACUGGGACUGAGACACGGCCCAGACUCCUACGGGAGGCAGCAGUGGGGAAUCUUGCGCAA